rnacentral:lncRNA from 1 species
AAGAAAAAAACCCAAAAACAAGAUAGCCCAUGGAACAGAAUAGAGAGGAAGAGACAGGCCCCCACAUAUACUGUCCUCUGAUUUAUUACUAAAGUCCUACUGCAAUUUAGUGGGAGGAGGAAGAUCUUUUAAAUAAAUGGUAGAGAAAAAAAUGAACUAUAUCCCUACCUUACAUCAUCCGUAUAAAUUAAUUGGGGAUGGAGCAUAGACGUAUGUGUAAAAGGAUAAAGCUUUCAAAACAAACCAUGGGAGAAUAUCUUCAUAACCUUCAGGUAGGCAAAGAUUUCUUUUUCUUUUUCUUUUUUUCUUGAGACGGAGUUUUGCUCUCCGGGCCACCAUGCCCGGCUAGUUUUGUAUUUUUUAGUAGAGACGGGGUUUCUCCAUGUUGGUCAGGCUGGUCUCAAACUCCUGACCUCAGGUGAUCUGCCCACCUUGGCCUCCAAAAGUGCUGGGAUUACAGGCGUGAGCCACCGCGCCUGGCGAGGCAAAGACUUUUUAAACAGGGCAUAAGAAUAACUGAAAGAAAGACUAGUAAUUGACUUCAUUAAAAUAAAAAACUUCUCCUCAACCAGUCACAAACUUAAGACAGUAUAAAGGCAAACCGCAACUGGGGAGAGAAUGUUUGCAAUACAUAUUUUGGAAAAAGAACUCAUAACUGGACUAUAUCAUGAACCGUUUCAGAGCAAUUUUUUAAAAAGACUGACAACACAAGUUUCAAAAAGAUCAAAAGACUUGGAUAGGCAUUUUGCAAAAGAAGAUAUCCAAAUGGCUAAUAAACAUUUCUAAAAGUGUUCAACGUCAUUAUCUAUCAAGUACAGGCAAAUUAAAACUACCAUAAGGUAGCACCUCAUAUCCAUCUAAUUUUAGAAUGACUAAAGUGAAUAGGCUGAGAAAUCUAAGAGUUGGUGAAGAUAUAAAGAAACUAGGAGUCUCAUAUAUUGCUUAUGUGAGUAUAAAUUUCCAUAAACAUUUUAGAAAACUACUAGGCAGCAUCUACUAAAGCUAAGCAAACAUAUAAUGCAUGACUGGGCAACUCAGCUCCUGGGCUGAGUAUAUACCCAAGAGAAAUGAAUGCAUAUGUCCACUAAAAGACAUGUAUAUAGCAUACUCAUAGCAGCAUUAAUAGUAAUAGCCCCGAAUUUGAAGUGAACCAAAUGUUAGUCAACAGUAGAAUGAAUACAUUGUGGUAUAGUUGUAUCUGGAAUACUACACAGCAAUGACAAAUGAUUAACUGGAUGCAAUAACAUGGGUGAACCUCUCAUCUCCAGAUUACUUAUAAUAUCUAAUGCAAGGUAAAUGUUAUAUAAAUAAUUGUUAUAUUGUAUUGUUUAGGUAAUAAACACACUCUAACACUCGCUCUGUUUUCCCCACAAUCCGCAGCAUGCAGCCUGCUGUGUCCACCUCACAUACGCACUGGACCUUGUCCUCACU